rnacentral:misc_RNA from 1 species
GAUGAAGAACGCAGCGAAAUGCGAUAAGUAGUGUGAAUUGCAGAAUUCAGUGAAUCAUCGAAUCUUUGAACGCACAUUGCGCCCCUUGGUAUUCCAUGGGGCAUGCCUGUUCGAGCGUCAUUUGUACCUUCAAGCUUCGCUUGGUGUUGGGUGUUUGUCCAUUCUCUUGCAGAGGGACUCGCCUUAAAGUAAUUGGCAGCCAGUGUUUUGGUUUUGAAGCGCAGCACAAGUCGCGAUUCAACGCUAUACGCCAGCUUCCACAAGCCUUUUUCACUUUUGACCUCGGAUCAGGUAGGGAUACCCGCUGAACUUAAGCAUAUCAAUAAGCGGAGGA